rnacentral:lncRNA from 13 species
CUGUGCUUGCCCUGCCUGCCUGGGCCUCUGGGGGGUUCCCCAUUUGGAUACAUCUCGUCUGUCCUCUGGGAUAUGUGCUCAUCCCUGCCGCUCCAGCCUGCCGCUCCAGCCCGCCGUUCCAGCCUGCUGUUCCCGAGAGUCCGGCCGGACACCAAAGCCUGCCGUGUGGGGUUUGUGAAGUCUUUGUUCCAUCCUUCCCUGGGACCCCAGGGCACCAGUGCCGCGUGCUCCCCGAGCUCGCUCCGGAGCUCCCCCUGCAGCCGCGGGGGAACCAUCGCACCUGCCCUGCUCACCGGGAGCCGCCAGCGCCCCUGCCGGCUGCGAGCGGAACUGCACCCGAGGGGAAAGGGCCUGACAGCCGAGACGGCUGGCACUGGGACUAUCCAUAUUGGGUCCCAGCGAGAUACAUCAAACCCAACCAAGGACAACAAUGAAUCUUGUCAUCUUUCUUCUACUAUACUGCCGUCAAGUGGCAGAAGGAAGAAUCUACUGAACCCACGUCAUUCAACCACUGAUUUUUCACCCUCUGACUUGGAGUCCAAAUCCCGCCCUCAGCGACAAUGGAACAAAAUGGGUAGGAGGAACUUGGCUUCCUCCCCUAGAUCAGGAUAUUGUAGAUACAUACAGUAUUAAUACUACUUUUGUUACUGAUUUACCGCCUAUAUGCUUAACAUGGACUCAAACAAGUGCCUCUUUUACCUUUACCUUGUGCUAACUUUUCAUACAAUUACAUUAAAUAUUAUGUACACUCAGAAACUGCAAGAAAAUUGACUGCUAUUACAUUGCCGGCCAUUCUGUCUACCUCCAACAAAUCUGUGGAUACCACUCCACCUCGUUUCCCCAAAUGUCUUUUCACACCCAUCUCCAAUAUACAGCAUUUGGAAUGGACAUCAUGUAUAGGACAACAGCCACAACAACAAUCUUUGCAGUAUAAGAAGGUAAUUGAUUGGAAACCACAUGUUAUCCUUAAAGAAAGUGGGACCAAUAGAACUAUCCUCCCAACCCAAAAGGCAAACCACAGUAUUGUUUGGCAUGCUAGUGGGAUGGCCAGACCAUUAAUUUAGUGUUAUUUUAAAAAUCAGUCUCCUGUGCACAAACAUUUAUGGAAAAUAUUGUUACCUGCUUUUGGCAAUAGGAUAUACCUAUUAUUAGUAAAAUUAGAUAAGAAUGCUAGAAUUGCUAAUUUAACACUUCUAAAGGAACAAUUACUAAUGACUUAUAUUUCACACCCAUAUAUUUUUGCUUUAGCUAAUGAUUUUUAGAUAGAUUAUAAAAUGGUUUGUAUUUUUAUCUGCUGACUCUUUAGUUUUCAAAUCAUGUAUAACCUACGAAAAUAUAUAGACAUAACUAUUCUGUCCUUCUUCCAUUUAAAAGAAGAUCUGAAAUUUGAGUACCUGUAAAUUGGACUUGAGAAAGACAAGAUGGUCUUUCAAAAUUAGCUUGAAUAGUCCAAGAAGAAAUCCAAAUGAGUAAGAAAUGAGAUCACAAAUUUCUGGGUUAGUUAAUUUUUACUAUUUUUUCUGCCAUAAUGCCAUAACCACAGCUUCUGUGGCUGUUGCUGCCUUAACUUGUUCCAUUCAAGCUGCCCAUACCAUAAGACAAGCUUUAACUGGUAUCACAAAAGAAUUACAAACACAACAUUGAUAAAGAAAUAAUGGCUAAAUUAGACACUUUGAAAAGUGCUCUUUUAUGGGUAAGCAAAAGAGUUGAAGCCCAAAAAACCUCAUCUCUCCCUGCACUGUGAUUGGGAACAGAUCCAUAAUUAUUUAUGUGUCACUUUUCCACGGAAUGGCAUAGAACAGAAUUGGGAGACAAUUAAAAGCUACCUCCAACUUUUUUUGCUUUUAUCCCACUUUGAUAAAAUCUUACAACAAGAUAUUCAGUCACUUCACACUCAAUUAAAAAAAUCAACUCAAGACUUUACAAACUCUGGAAGGAAAGAAAGUGUUGACAGUUCUGAAAAAUGAUCUUUCUUGGCUCAAUCUGAAAAAUUGGUUUUCUAGAAUAAAUUAACGAAUUUGGGUUUUUAUUGGACUGGGUUGUCUGGCCAUGAUAUCCUUUUUAAACUUCUGUCUUAUCCUUUUAACAUAAUCAGAACUGUUAAAAGCACAAGACUGUUACAAGAAGCCUGCUGCAGCAAAAACCCUGAAAAUCAGGGAAAAGAGCAAAUUACACACAAUCUGAAAACAAGAAAGGUGUCCUGUUUCUUUGAACCUUCAAACUUUGAGGAAAAUAACUAGCUGUCAGGCUGACAGAUUUAUUACAGGCCUGUAACUGGGUUUUGUAUGAACAACUGAACACAGAUUCUCACACUAAAAGUAUAAGUACUGUCUUAACUCUGCAAUAAACAGAUUCAUUUGCUCUCCCAUUCAUAUGCCACAAGGUGGGGGAGGCAACACAAUACAAUGGAGGGGUAGGAAAUGUAUGGCAAGGCAAUGAGGUGUGGGCAGACCAAAGCAAGGGAGUGGUAGGCAAGACAAGGCAAGAGAGUUGAAGGUAAGGAAAGGGAAAGGAGGUGUAGGCCAGGGAAGGGAAGAGCAUGUAAGGGUAGGCAAGGCAAGAGAGUCAUAAAUAAGGCAAGGCAAGGCCAGGCCCAGGUAGGUAAUGAGAGGGAGAGGAAGGCAAAGCUAGACAAAGCCAGGAAAAGCAAGGGAGGGGCAGGCAAGGCAAGAAGGGAGGGAGAGGGAAGGCAAGGCACAACAUGGGUAGGCAAGACAAAGCAAGGGAGGAUUAGGCCAGACAAUGUCAGGCAAGGGAUGGCUACGCAAGUCAAGGCAUGGGAGAAGAAGGCACCGCAAAGCAAGGGAUGUGUAGGCAAGGCAAGGGAAGGCAAGGGAGCAGUAGAUGAGGUAAGACCAGGCAAGGGAGAGGUAUGCAAGGCAGGGUAAAGAAUGGUUUGGCAAUGCAAAGUGGGCCAAGGGAGAGGAAGGCAAGGCAAGGCCAGGCAAGGCAAUGAAGGGGUAGGCAAGGGAAGGCAAAGGAAGGGAAGCGGUAGACUAAGUAAGGCAAGGGAAGGGUUAGGCAAAACAGGGAAGGUAAUGGUAGGCACGACAAGACAAGGAGAGGGAGGGACAGGAAAGAGAAGACAAGGCAAUUCAAGAGAGUCCUAAGUAAGGCAAGGCAGGGGUAGGCAAGGGAAGGAAUGGGCUGGCAAGGGAAGGGAAUGGUAUGCAAGGCAAGGGAAUGGUAUGUAAGGCAAGGCAAUGAAGGGGCAGGGAAGGAAAGGCAAGGGAGGGUUUGGCAAGGCCUGUUCAAGGGAGAGCUUUGCAUGGCCAGGGUUUGGUAGCAGGGGGGCUACAGGGGUGGCUUCCUUGAGAAGCUUUCAGAAGCUUUGCCCAUGUCCAGUAGAAACAAUACUAGCCAGCUCCAAGACAGAUGCUGGCCAAAGCUGGGCCAAUCAGAAAUGAUUGUAACACAUGUGUCAUAACAUAUUUAAGAAGAAGAAGAAAAAAGUUAUGGUACAAAUGUAAUUGCAGAGAAGAGCAGGGUGAGAAUAUGAGAGGAACAGCUCUGCAGACACCAAGAUCAGUGGAGAAGGAGAGGGAGGAUAUGCUCCAGGAACCAGAGCUGAGAUUUCCCAGCAGCCUCGGAUUAGGCAGCUGUGCCCUGCAGCCCAUGGAGAACCACAGAGAUGCAUUGGUCCAUUGGCAGCGCAUUGAGAACUGAUUUGUUAAAUCUUGAUAUCCGCGGACAAAAGACCCUCUUACUAAUUACAGUUGGAAAGUGCUAUGUUUAUUCAGGCACCGGCGGGUGGCAUGGGAGUAGCCUCCUAAAGACAUGCCAGCAAAGUACAAGGGUUUUCAUUCUCUAUUUAUUACUCAAAGUUUUACAUCUUUUACAUGUAGAUACAAAAAUGCUGCUAGCAAGGAUUUUCUUGCUAUUUUCUAAGUCCGUGAGAGACUUUUCUCUCUCACAGAAGAGGUAGCAGAGUUAUGUAAACAACCAAGCCACCUGCAACCUUGAAAAGUCUUGUUUAUGGUAUAGUAGAAAAAUAUUUUGACAAUGGAUGUUUUAGGAUUUUAGCCAAUCACUCCCCAAGGGGUGGCUGGUCCUUUGUCCAGGAGAUGACUAUGUAGACUAUGAAGAAAAGAGUCUAUAAAAGAGUUUGUAAAAUAAUUAAAUAAAUCAAUCUCGCUGCACAAUUCCUGCCUUCUGGAUCUUCUCUCCUCCUCCUCCUCCCUAUGGCUGCGGGACAUUGUGAUAUGCCCUAGGGCCCAGGCCUCUGGUAAUAUUUGGGGCUGCCCGAUGUGAUCUGAAUUCUCUGACGUGUCCUGCACGCUGCGAGCCAAGACGAAUUCCUCUAGAGGUACGCUGUUCCCCUUCCCCCCCUGGGACCGGGAGGUCCAACGUGACUGAGAAAUGGCAAACAGCGGCUCACAAACCGACGCUGUGGUACUGGUCUGGAAAGAUGUGUUUAGUAUAAUGCAAACCUCCAUUCCUGAAAACUCAGUUCGGGAAUUAUUAGACUGGGCUACCUUAAAAGGGAUUUCCAUGGACAGAGAUACUUGCCCUGGACUUUGCCUUAUGGCAGGAACUUGGCUGUGCUGUCUGACACAAGCUCCCAUCUGAGGAGCCAGCAGCGUUAGAAUUAUAUCAAACCUGGUGUUUGUUAUUUAUUCUGCUGACAGACCUUGACUAUAGCAGCAGAGCUGGCUCGCCUAUUGCGGUGAUGAGUGACGGAGGAAUGUCCGAGGGGGACCCCGCUGACUGGGCUUCCAGGGCAAAUGAUGGUGGAUCCGGAACACUCCCCCCGGCUCCACAGGCAGAGCCUGUGCCGCCUCACCCUGCACAAUCGCAGGACUCCGCGGCCCCCAGGGACCCCGUGCCGGCAGAGGCGGGGGGGUCGGGGCAGCGGGAGGGUGCACAGCCUGCCUUACUGCUCAGCUUGGCGGCGGCCACGGCUUAUCCAGGGCCACAAAUUAGCAGCUUAGCGAAUUGGACCCUGAGAGCGGCUCCUAGCCCGGUUGCGUAUGCACCUGGAUCUAACUUCUUAGCCAGUGUAGCGCCGGGCGAGACUGCGCCAAGACUGCCUGGGUGUGGUCCGCUGCCCUCCUUGGCGCUGGACUGUUCCGCGCAGUCGCAGAACCAAGCCAUCGACCUUUUAAUGCAGCAUCUGCCUUUGCUGACAGAGUUACCAAACAUAUCCCGAAGGUUGGAGGACCUGUUCAGCUUGCUA